rnacentral:piRNA from 1 species
UGNGACCUCACUCAAAGCUCUGUGCCUA